GUUUGGUAAAUCAGGUGGUUGAAGGAGUUGAAUUGUUGAAGAAAUCUAGAGAGGUUGCAGAGGCCAUUUUAAAGAACAAGUCGGCCAUUAACGAUGGCCUGAAGCUGGAUCUUGGCCAAGCUCUUGCUCUGGAAAAGGAGAGAGCUCAUGAGUAUUACAACGGAAUGACCAAAGAACAAUUUCAGAAAAUGCAGGAAUUCGUAGCUGGUCGGACCUCCAAGAACAUGUAGUUUCCUCAACGGUCAGUACAUUCCUCCCUACUUUCAUUUACAUCUGUAAUUUAAUUCUAGUGGGUCAGAAGCCUCUGUGUCAUUUGUCUCAAAUAGGAGUCUCAAAUUCACGAGUAG